rnacentral:rRNA from 1 species
CAGCAGCCGCGGUAAUACGAAGGGUGCAAGCGUUACUCGGAAUUACUGGGCGUAAAGCGUGCGUAGGUGGUGGUUUAAGUCCGUUGUGAAAGCCCUGGGCUCAACCUGGGAAUUGCAGUGGAUACUGGGUCACUAGAGUGUGGUAGAGGAUAGUGGAAUUUCCGGUGUAGCAGUGAAACGCGUAGAGAUCGGAAGGAACAUCUGUGGCGAAGGCGACUAUCUGGGCCAACACUGACACUGAGGCACGAAAGCGUGGGGAGCAAACAGGAUUAGAUACCCGCGUAGUCCCUGUCUCUUAUAC